UACAGAGGUGGCAAGCGUUGUUCGGAAUUACUGGGCGUAAAGGGCGCGUAGGCGGCCUUCUAAGUCAGACGUGAAAUCCCCCGGCUUAACCUGGGAACUGCGUCUGAUACUGGGAGGCUAGAGUGCGGAGAGGGAUGCGGAAUUCCAGGUGUAGCGGUGAAAUGCGUAGAUAUCUGGAGGAACACCGGUGGCGAAGGCGGGUCUCUGGGCAACAACUGACGCUGAGGAGCGAAAGCGUGGGGAGCGAACAGG
rnacentral:rRNA from 1 species